rnacentral:rRNA from 1 species
UACGGGGGGGCAAGCGUUGUUCGGAAUUACUGGGCGUAAAGGGCUCGUAGGCGGCCAACUAAGUCAGACGUGAAAUCCCUCGGCUUAACCGGGGAACUGCGUCUGAUACUGGUUGGCUUGAGUGUGGGAGAGGGAUGCGGAAUUCCAGGUGUAGCGGUGAAAUGCGUAGAUAUCUGGAGGAACACCGGUGGCGAAGGCGGCAUCCUGGACCAUUACUGACGCUGAGGAGCGAAAGCCAGGGAGCAACGGG